GUGGACGUGUCUCGGUGGUAGAGUACUUGCCUGGUAUGCAUGAAGCCCUGGGUUCCAUUCCUGGCUCACA
rnacentral:tRNA from 1 species